UACUGCCCCCUGGCUCUGUUCAAAGGUGA
rnacentral:piRNA from 1 species